rnacentral:rRNA from 1 species
GAUGAACGCUGGCGGCGUGCCUAAUACAUGCAAGUCGAGCGAACGGACGAGAAGCUUGCUUUUCUGAUGUUAGCGGCGGACGGGUGAGUAACACGUGGAUAACCUACCUAUAAGACUUGGAUAACUUCGGGAAACCGGAGCGAAUACCGGAUAAUAUUUUGAACCGCAUGGUUCAAAAGUGAAAGACGGUCUUGCUGUCACUUAUAGAUUGAUCCGCGCUGCAUUAGCUAGUUGGUAAGGUAACGGCUUACCAAGGCAACGAUGCAUAGCCGACCUGAGAGGGUGAUCGGCCACACUGGAACUGAGACACGGUCCAGACUCCUACGGGAGGCAGCAGUAGGGAAUCUUCCGCAAUGGGCGAAAGCCUGACGGAGCAACGCCGCGUGAGUGAUGAAGGUCUUCGGAUCGUAAAACUCUGUUAUUAGGGAAGAACAUAUGUGUAAGUAACUGUGCACAUCUUGACGGUACCUAAUCAGAAAGCCACGGCUAACUACGUG